GACGAACGCUGGCGGCGUGCUUAACACAUGCAAGUCGAACGGAAAGGCCCUGCUUUUGUGGGGUGCUCGAGUGGCGAACGGGUGAGUAACACGUGAGUAACCUGCCCUUGACUUUGGGAUAACUUCAGGAAACUGGGGCUAAUACCGGAUAGGAGCUCCUGCUGCAUGGUGGGGGUUGGAAAGUUUCGGCGGUUGGGGAUGGACUCGCGGCUUAUCAGCUUGUUGGUGGGGUAGUGGCUUACCAAGGCUUUGACGGGUAGCCGGCCUGAGAGGGUGACCGGCCACAUUGGGACUGAGGUACGGCCCAGACUCCAACGGGAGGCAGCAGUGGGGAAUAUUGCACAAUGGGCGGAAGCCUGAUGCAGCAACGCCGCGUGCGGGAUGACGGCCUUCGGGUUGUGAACCGCUUUCGCCUUUGACGAAGCGUGAGUGACGGUAAUGGGUAAGGAAGCACCGGCUAACUACGUG
rnacentral:rRNA from 1 species